GGAGGGUGCGAGCGUUAAUCGGAAUAACUGGGCGUAAAGGGCAUGUAGGCGGUGAGUUAAGUCAGAUGUGAAAUCCCCGAGCUCAACUUGGGAAUGGCAUUUGAAACUGGGUCGCUAGAGUUUUCUAGAGGGGGUAGAAUUCCAGGUGUAGCGGUGAAAUGCGUAGAUAUCUGGAGGAAUACCGGUGGCGAAGGCGGCCCCCUGGAGAAAGACUGACGCUGAGGUGCGAAAGCGUGGGAGCAAACAGGAUUAGAUACCCCUGGUAGUCCACGCUGUAAACGAUGUCGAUUUGGAGGUUGCGGUCUUGAACUGUGGCGUCCGGAGCUAACGCGUUAAAUCGACCGCCUGGGGAGUACGGCCGCAAGGUUA
rnacentral:rRNA from 1 species